rnacentral:rRNA from 1 species
CCUACGGGUGGCAGCAGUGAGGAAUAUUGGUCAAUGGGCGCGAGCCUGAACCAGCCAAGUCGCGUGAGGGAAGACGGUUCUAUGGAUUGUAAACCUCUUUUGUCGGGGAGCAAAAGACGCCACGCGUGGCGUUCCGAGAGUACCCGAAGAAAAAGCAUCGGCUAACUCCGUGCCAGCAGCCACGGUAAUACGGGGGAUGCGAGCGUUAUCCGGAUUUAUUGGGUUUAAAGGGUGCGCAGGCGGAAGAUCAAGUCAGCGGUAAAAGUGAGAGGCUCAACCUCUUCGAGCCGUUGAAACUGGUUUUCUUGAGUGAGCGAGAGGUAUGCGGAAUGCGUGGUGUAGCGGUGAAAUGCAUAGAUAUCACGAAGAACUCCGAUUGCGAAGGCAGCAUACCGGCGCUCAACUGACGCUCAUGCACGAAAGUGUGGGUAGCGAACAGGAUUAGAUACCCUAGUAGUC